rnacentral:lncRNA from 1 species
GAUGGGAUGGAACAUUUCUGGUGCAUUUGAAAAACCACGACUGUUCUGCCUGGAGCAUGCAAUUGAAAUUGAAGGGCUGUUGAGUACAAAAGGUGGAGCCAAGGUUCUCGUGAUUUGUCAUUCAGGUAACAGUCAGCUUACUGUCUUGUCCAUCAGAAUGAUAAAUGAAAAGUUAAAAAAAAAAAAUUAUCUUACCUUAAAUUUUCAGCACUUCUGCCCCGAUUAUUUUCUUUGACUUCUGCUGAACUUGGUUGGAAACCAGAAGAAUGCAUGGAACCAUCAGAAAUUGUGUUUAAUUGUCGUGAAGUCUCACAACAAUGAUACUUGAACUUCAUGCGAUCAAAUUUAAUUAAAAUAAAGAAGUUAUAUGUUGCGUUGUUCCAUUCCUUUUUAAUAUUUUUUGCAACUUAAUUGUACUAUGAUCCACUUUUUCUGAUUUUUUUUUUUUUUU